GUUGUUUAUUGUUUAUUGUUGACCUUUUCGCGUCUGUUUAUUAUUAGGUACUAUCUCAGUGUUCGCAUCCUUUUCGAAGCUUAACUCGUAUGGCAUUUUUAAAGUUUUUAUUUUUGUUUAAUUAAAUGUACAAUAUCAUAUAUAUUUUAUGGAGAUUAAAAAGUCUUACUAGAAUAUAGUACAUCAUUGUUUAGAAGCGUUCGUAUCAAAGGUUUCUUGCGAGGAUUAGUUAUGGGGUGCACGCAAAGUGAAAUAUCUCCACAAAAUGAAACGCCUAAAAAAGGAUGUACCGACGUUCUAUGGCUGGUUAUAUAUGUAAUCUUUUGGAUAGCAAUGAUAUUUGUUGCUGCAAUCUCUUUUGUAUACGGAAAUCCGCAACGACUCAUAAAUGGAUAUGAUUCCUUUGGUAAUACAUGUGGUGUAAAAAAUAACAAGAAACUAAUAAACUUCCCACUUGCCGGCAUAAGCACUGCUGACAAAAGUUACCUGUUUUUUAUGGAUGUAAAGCAAUUACGACGGUCUCUCAAAAUAUGUGUAAAAGAAUGCCCAAAUAAAAAAAUGGAAACUUUAACUGAUAUUCAAAACUUCUACAAGCAAACUGGGUCUAGUUUAUGUAGAUAUGAUAUAAACUUGAAUACCACAACAAAUACUGGAGAUUUAAACAAUUUCAUAGGCCCAUGCCCUGUUUUACCAGUUUAUGAAUCAUUCCCGCUUCUUAACCGGUGCUUUCCAAAGUCAGCUAAAGAUGUAGCUCAGAAAGUCUUUACCGAUUUCUAUGAUUUGCUAAACAGCUGGGACACAAUUGAGCAAAUGCUGUCUGACCUAUAUAACUCUUGGAAAGAAAUGAUUAUUUGUGUAAUUAUAGCAUUUAUUUGUUCUCUAAUAAUGGUUUCUAUUUUGCAUUUAUUGGCAACAUUAGUGUCUUGGAUAUUUAUGAUCAUAGUAUCAAUUGCAAGUGUGGCGGGAACAGCCUUGUUAUGGUACACUUAUCAUGAACUUAGAACUAAACAGAGAGACUUCUCUGAUACAACUGCUUUCCUAGCUGAAUCCUUUAAAAAUGAAAAAGCCUUCCUAUGGUACUCCAUUAUAGCUACAAUAAUUACUGUAAUUUUGCUCCUCCUUGUAUGGGUGAUGAGAUCGCGUGUGUCAUUUUUGGCUGCAUUGUUCAAAGAAACAGCUCAUUGCCUUGGAUCCAUACCAGCACUCUUUCUCCAGCCAAUAAUUACAUUCUUCUUCUUGGUGCUGUUUUUUGCUUUUUGGUCAUCUGUUGUGGUUUGCUUAGCUACAGCUAACUAUCCUGGUAUACCUUAUAAAACAAACUUCUUCAUCAAUGGUACACAACUACCAGACCAUGUAGAUAGUGCAGCCAUUCAGGCUCAAAAGAUUAACAGCAGUGCCAGUUUUAAAAGCUAUAUUCUAGAUCCAAUAGAGUUUAACCCUAUGUGGGUAAGGAGUAUGUGGUGGAUGUGUCUUAUCUGCCUUGUGUGGGGAAGUGAAUUUAUAUUGGGCUGCCAACAGAUGACUAUUGCUGGGGCUGUGUCGCACUGGUAUUUCAGGGGUCCCCAUAGUGAUUCAUCACCAGUACUAUAUUCUGUUGGAAAACUUCUUAAAUAUCAUCUAGGUUCAGUAGCUAAAGGAUCAUUUUUGAUCACAUUAUUCAAAGUGCCACGCCUUAUUCUAACAUAUCUCCACGCCAAACUUUCGUCAAGGGCAGAAAAAGGUUCGGAGUGUGCUAAGUGUGGAUUAAAAUGCGGUAUUUGUUGCUUUUAUUGCCUCGAAAAAUUCAUUCGCUAUUUGAACCAUAAUGCAUAUACAAUAAUUACCAUAGAAAGAUGUCAUUUUUGUAAGGCAGCAGCUAAGGCUUUCAGUGUUAUUGUGAACAACGCCUUGCAAGUGGCCACAAUAAACAGUGUGGGCGAUUUCAUUCUAUUUCUGGGCAAGUGUAUCGUAACAGCCAUAACUGGCAUCAUUGGCUUACUUCUGCUAAAACGAAACUCCGACUUACAUUUCUUCGCAGUUCCUACACUCGUUAUCUGUAUUUAUUCGUUCUUUAUUGCACAUUGCAUUCUAUCUCUGUAUGAGAUGGUAGUGGAUUCUCUGUUUUUGUGCGUUUGCGAGGAUCGUAACAUGAAUGGUGACAAUGGUAAAUGGAAGAAUUCAAGAUUGGCUGAACUCGGAGGACAUAAAACAAACAGACAGGAACAAAACGCCGCUGAAUUGGAAGAUUUGCAGGAAAAGUACUGAGUUUAUAAACAGAUCUGAUUUCGGAUAUAUUUACACUUUCUAAGGCUAUGCAUUACUCGAAGUCUCAACAGUUAAUAAGAUUUUUAUAAAUUUCCUAUUAAUGUAAUUUUAAACUGUUCUUUUGUCUUCUUUUGUUAACGUUACGUAUAUAUAAUAAGAACUGAUAACAUAUACAAAUUUUCGAAAAUUGCAUAGGUAUAAGUUUACUUAUUUAUAUUAGAUAUACAAUCAUGUUUCAUAAUAUUUUAUAAUUUGUCAUUAAUUGUCAGCUUUAAUUAUUUUUUGCCUAUUUUUAUACUUGUAGAAAUAAUGUUGAUAUAAUCUCGAAUGAAUUUAAUCUCAGAUUAUAAUUUAAAUUUUUUAUUUUAGAAACUAUGAAUUAAAUGCGUACAAUCAUGACUAGUGUAUAAGAAAAAAUAUUUUGCUAGGACAUUUAUUUUUUGUAAUGUUUGAUCGAUUUUAUGAUACUCGCUGCUUAAAUGCACUUUUUCGCGUUUUUUAAAUGUUAACAUCCAAAAAUGCAUUGUUUCCUUUUUAAAAUCUUAACAUUUUAUAAAAAUUAUUAAUAAUUAAUUAUACUCAUUCAGUACAUUAUAUUUAAUAUAAUAUAAUUAACUUCUUCCAUUAUUUUUAUAACAUGAUAUAUAAAGUCUCAGUUUAAAUGAAAGCAAAUAUUUAAUUUACUAGAAUAAGUAUCAAAUAAUAAAAAUGUCCAUCAAAUGUUUGCUGUGUCACUAUGUUGUUUUAUACGUGUCGCAGGUAUAUUUUCAAAGCCUUGAAAUUAUAAUUACAGUAGAUUAUUAGUCGAUUGCAUUUGUUCUAUAGACAUUGUAAUUUUACAGCGACACUAUAAUGAUUUUGAAACGUCGACGUUUCUAUUGUUGUGUUUCCAAUCCUAGAAUGACGAAUAAAGAAAAUUUCAAAUCCGACCGCUUACGACUCGACGGCUCGCGCUGCUAACAUCGUUUAUGAUAUUAUCACUAGUCCCUGUGAAAUUGCUAUGUCACUUAACAAGGCCGUUAAAUUUUAAGAUGUGAAAACGAUUAUCAAUCGAGCCUUACCCUUGUUAGUAAGAAAUAAGCAACAUUGUUGUAAUUGUGUAUUUUUAGUUUUAUAACGUUGAAAUGCUUUAUAAAUGAGAAAUUUAGAAAGAAUAGAAAAAAAAAUGAUCACGAAGCGGGAUUCGAACCUGCGUAAAAAGACGCAACGCCAAUCCCACUUUAUCAUCGAAUUUCCUCUUCUCUUUCAAAAUUUCUCAAUAUUAUACCUUUUAUUUUACAUCUACAAAGGGCUUCUUAAGGAGAAAAAAAAAUCAAUUUCCAGGGCAUGAUUUCGAAAUUUACCAUAUAAUAAAUGGACCUCUAACAGGAACUAGGUAAAAUAGCAUUUAUGUGUGUUUCUUAUAUAUACAUAUAUAGGCAGCUUAUUUUAAAUUUUAUAGCUAGGACUUUACAAGGAAUGCUAUACUUGCAUAAGUAAAAUAUCUAGGAUCAGAAAAUUUUUGAGACUAAAAAAAAUUAUUGCAUUUACAUAUUACCUAUAUGAAUUUAAUCAAUUGUAUUUUUUUAUUAACAUUUAAACAUGUCAGUUUAUAUUGCUUUACAUUGAAUAUUAUACAAAUGUAUUGGGAGUAUGAAUGUAAAUUAUUAUGAUGCAUAUUGCUAUUUCAGUAAUCAUAAUAAUAUUUAUUUUGAAGCCAAAGUAAUGACUUAGUUCCAUGUUAUGUUCAUCAUUUACACUUGAAUAGACAAAGCAAGAUUCCAUCCCUUUCCUUUUACAAAUUGUUGUAAUUGUUUACCCAUAACAUGUAGCAAUGUUUUAGACUUUUUUUGUAUCCUGACUUUAGUCAAGAAACCGUCCAGAGUGAUUUGAUGCUCAAGUGCUGUAAUUAGUAAAUAAUCAUUAAACAAAUAUUAAUUUAAGGCAAAAAAAGGUAUUGUAACAUUAAAUUCACUAUGACUCCAUUUUUAACAUAAAGCUUUAAUAUUUAUUUGUUGUACCUUAUAAAUUUUUCAUAUUGUGUCACCAUACAUAAACUUAUGCAUUUUUUAUUAUUGCUUAUGAAUCAAAUGUAACUUCCAAGUAUUGCUAGUAUAUUG
rnacentral:misc_RNA from 1 species